ensembl:misc_RNA Metazoa_SRP Metazoan signal recognition particle RNA
GCUGGGCGUAGUGGCACAUGCCUGUAGUCUUAGCUACUCGGGAAGCUGAGGCAGGAGGAUCACUUGAGCCCAGGAGUUGGAGGCUUCAGUGAGCCACAAUCACACCACUGCCCUCCAACCUGGGCAACACAGUGAGACCUUGUCUCAA